AGCCUAGGAGGUUGAUAGGUUGGGGGUGUAAGGGCUGCGAGGCCUUUAGCUGACCAAUACUAAUAAGUCGAAGUUUUAACCUU
rnacentral:rRNA from 1 species